rnacentral:tRNA from 1 species
UAGGCUGUAGCUCAAUGGAAGAGCACUUGCCUAGCACAUGUGAGUCCCUGGGUUUGACCCUCAGCAGCAUAU